rnacentral:rRNA from 1 species
CCCCAUAAUUUUCAUUUUUCGCAUGAUUAAUGGAUUAAAGCUUCGGCGGUUAUUGAUGGGCAUGCGGGACAUUAGCUUGUUGGUAAGGUAACGGCUUACCAAGGCAACUAUGUCUAGGGGGUCUUAAAGGAUGGUCCCCCACACUGGUACUGAGACACGGACCAGACUCCUACGGGAGGCAGCAGUGAGGAAUAUUGGUCAAUGGGCGAAAGCCUGAACCAGCCAUAUCGCGUGCAGGAUGAAGGCCCUAUGGGUUGUAAACUGCUUUUAUACGGGAAGAAUAAAUCCCUCGUGAGGGAUUGUGACGGUACCGUGUGAAUAAGGAUCGGCUAACUCCGUGCCAGCAGCCGCGGUAAUACGGAGGAUUCAAGCGUUAUCCGGAUUUAUUAGGUUUAAAGGGUGUGUAGGCGGAAUUUUAAGUCAGUGGUGAAAUCUCCCGGCUCAACUGGGAAACUGCCAUUGAUACUAUUUUUCUUGAGUACAGUUGAGGUAGGCGGAAUGUGUCAUGUAGCGGUGAAAUGCUUAGAGAUGACACAGAACACCGAUUGCGUAGGCAGCUUACUAAACUGUUACUGACGCUGA